UACGUAGGGGCCGAGCGUUGUCCGGAGUUAUUGGGCGUAAAGCGCGCGUAGGCGGACCUGCAAGUCGGGGGUGAAAGCCCGAGGCUCAACCUCGGAACUGCCUUCGAUACUGCGGGUCUCGAGUCCGGGAGAGGUGAGUGGAAUUCCUGAGUGUAGAGGUGAAAUUCGUAGAUAUUAGGAAGAACACCAGUGGCGAAGGCGGCUCACUGGCCCGGUACUGACGCUGAGGCGCGAAAGCGUGGGGAGCAAACAGG
rnacentral:rRNA from 1 species